rnacentral:miRNA from 10 species
GCCAAUGAAGUUUGAAUUUCAGGUAAACAAUGAAUUUUUUCAAGUAUAAGUAUGUGACAAAUGCUGUGUGGGACAUACUUAUACUAAAACAAAAACUGUUGUUUGUCUACGGUUAAAAUGUAA